rnacentral:rRNA from 1 species
CCAUGAGAGCUGACUGUACCAGAAGUCGCUAGGCUAACCUGUGGGUUCGCCUUCAGGAGGCAGGCGCCUAAGGUAUGGUUGGUGAUUGGGGUG